GUUCGGUUAACAUGGCGGAGAAACAAGUAGGACUCCGUUUUAAUUUAGUCUCGUUUCAAUUAAUUUAUAAAUGUGAUAAACAGCUCGUCGAAUCACGAUCAACUACACCUAGUUAAACACGGUAACGUCAUUGGUUGAACAAAUGCAGGCACAAGAUCAAUACGUUCAAUGACUCAUUUUCGAGAAGAACGUUCUAGGAUUUAUUGUGGCGGUCAAGUUUCUGUAUUUGCGCGAGGUAUUUGAAUACAUUUAAUGCAGGUAUGAAGUUACUUACAGUCACUUUAUAAUUAUUGCAAGUGGGUUAAUAAAAUAUGAGGAAAAUACCGAUUUGCAUACAAGCUACAGUUAAGAUUGGAUUACAUUUCCGCAAAUUAAAACACAAACGUAAGAACGAGGCCUGUGUUUUAUAUUGGUCGUUACUACCAUGAUUUGGUUCGCAUAUAACGGCAGUGAAUAUAUAGUAGAAUGGGGGUAGAUGGGACACCUUUUAAUUUUAUU